rnacentral:rRNA from 1 species
GAUGAACGCUAGCGGGAGGCUUAACACAUGCAAGUCGAGGGGCAGCAUAGAUCAACCGUAAGGCAGAUCUGAUGGCGACCGGCGCACGGGUGAGUAACGCGUAUGCAACCUAUCCUGUACUGGAAGAUAACCCGGAGAAAUUCGGACUAAUAUUCCAUAAUGAUAUUAAGAGGCAUCUUUUAAUAUUUAAAGUUCCAACGGUACGGGCUGGGCAUGCGUAACAUUAGCUAGUUGGCAGGGUAACGGCCUGCCAAGGCAACGAUGUUUAGGGGUCCUGAGAGGGUGAUCCCCCACACUGGUACUGAGACACGGACCAGACUCCUACGGGAGGCAGCAGUGAGGAAUAUUGGUCAAUGGGCGCAAGCCUGAACCAGCCAUCCCGCGUGAAGGAAGAAGGCGUUAUGCGUUGUAAACUUCUUUUCCAGGGGAAUAAAAUUUCGUACGUGUACGGAAUUGAAGGUACCCUGGGAAUAAGCAUCGGCUAACUCCGUGCCAGCAGCCGCGGUAAACUCGU